GAUGAACGCUGGCGGCGUGCCUAAUACAUGCAAGUCGAGCGCACGGACGAGAAGCUUGCUUCUCUGAUGUUAGCGGCGGACGGGUGAGUAACACGUGGAUAACCUACCUAUAAGACUGGGAUAAAUUCGGGAAACCGGAGCUAAUACCGGAUAAUAUUUUGAACCGCAUGGUUCAAAAGUGAAAGACGGUCUUGCUGUCACUUAUAGAUGGAUCCGCGCUGCAUUAGCUAGUUGGUAAGGUAACGGCUUACCAAGGCAACGAUGCAUAGCCGACCUGAGAGGGUGAUCGGCCACACUGGAAUUGAGACACGUUCAAGACUCUUACGGGAGGAGGAAGAAGGAAAUCUUGCGCAAGGGGCGAAAGCCUGACGGGGCAACGCCGCGUGAGUGAGGAAGGUCUUCGGAUCGUAAAACUCGGUUAUUAGGGAAGAACAUAUGUGUAAGGAACUGUGCACAUCUUGACGGUACCUAAUCAGAAAGCCACGGCUAACUACGUG
rnacentral:rRNA from 1 species